AACGAACGCUGGCGGCAUGCCUAACACAUGCAAGUCGAACGAGACCUUCGGGUCUAGUGGCGCACGGGUGCGUAACGCGUGGGAACCUGCCCUUAGGUUCGGAAUAACUCCCCGAAAGGGGUGCUAAUACCGGAUAAUUUCUUCGGACCAAAGAUUUAUCGCCUUUGGAUGUGCCCGCGUUGGAUUAGCUAGUUGGUAGGGUAAAAGCCUACCAAGGCGACGAUCCAUAGCUGGUCUGAGAGGAUGAUCAGCCACACUGGGACUGAGACACGGCCCAGACUCCUACGGGAGGCAGCAGUGGGGAAUAUUGGACAAUGGGCGAAAGCCUGAUCCAGCAAUGCCGCGUGAGUGAUGAAGGCCUUAGGGUUGUAAAGCUCUUUUACCCGGGAUGAUAAUGACAGUACCGGGAGAAUAAGCUCCGGCUAACUCCGUG
rnacentral:rRNA from 1 species